AGUCGAGGGGUAUAGGUUUUCGGACCUAGAGACCGGCGCACGGGUGCGUAACGCGUAUGCAAUCUACCUUUCACAGAGGGAUAGCCCAGAGAAAUUUGGAUUAAUACCUCAUAGUAUAACGACUCGGCAUCGAGAUGUUAUUAAAGUCACAACGGUGAAAGAUGAGCAUGCGUCCCAUUAGCUAGUUGGUAUGGUAACGGCAUACCAAGGCGACGAUGGGUAGGGGUCCUGAGAGGGAGAUCCCCCACACUGGUACUGAGACACGGACCAGACUCCUACGGGAGGCAGCAGUGAGGAAUAUUGGACAAUGGGCGCAAGCCUGAUCCAGCCAUGCCGCGUGCAGGAUGACGGUCCUAUGGAUUGUAAACUGCUUUUGCACAGGAAGAAACAACUCUACGUGUAGAGUCUUGACGGUACUGUGAGAAUAAGGAUCGGCUAACUCCGUGCCAGCAGCCGCGGUAAUACGGAGGAUCCAAGCGUUAUCCGGAAUCAUUGGGUUUAAAGGGUCCGUAGGCGGUCUUAUAAGUCAGUGGUGAAAUCUCCCCGCUCAACGGGGAAACGGCCAUUGAUACUGUAGGACUUGAAUUAUUAGGAAGUAACUAGAAUAUGUAGUGUAGCGGUGAAAUGCUUAGAGAUUACAUGGAAUACCAAUUGCGAAGGCAGGUUACUACUAAUGGAUUGACGCUGAUGGACGAAAGCGUGGGUAGCGAACAGGAUUAGAUACCCUGGUAGUCCACGCCGUAAACGAUGGAUACUAGUUGUUGGAAAGCAUUUCAGUGGCUAAGCGAAAGUGAUAAGUAUCCCACCUGGGGAGUACGUUUCGCAGAAAUGAACUCAAAGGAAUUGACGGGGGCCCGCACAAGCG
rnacentral:rRNA from 1 species